GGCGAACGCUGGCGGCGUGCUUAACACAUGCAAGUCGAACGAUGAUGCUCCAGCUUGCUGGGGUGGAUUAGUGGCGAACGGGUGAGUAACACGUGAGUAACCUGCCCCCUUCUUCGGGAUAAGCUUGGGAAACUGGGUCUAAUACUGGAUAUUCUGCAAUUGUCGCAUGGUGGUUGUGGGAAAGAUUUUUUGGUGGGGGAUGGGCUCGCGGCCUAUCAGCUUGUUGGUGGGGUGAUGGCCUACCAAGGCGUCGACGGGUAGCCGGCCUGAGAGGGUGACCGGCCACACUGGGACUGAGAUACGGCCCAGACUCCUACGGGAGGCAGCAGUGGGGAAUAUUGCACAAUGGGCGCAAGCUUGAUGCAGCGACGCCGCGUGAGGGAUGACGGCUUUCGGGUUGUAAACCUCUUUCGAUGGGGAACAAGGCCAUAUUUUUGUGUGGUUGAGGGUACCUGUAUAAGAAGCGCCGGCUAACUACGU
rnacentral:rRNA from 1 species